GACGAACGCUGGCGGCGUGCUUAACACAUGCAAGUCGAGCGGUAAGGCCCUUUCGGGGGUACACGAGCGGCGAACGGGUGAGUAACACGUGGGUGACCUGCCCUCAGCUCUGGGAUAAGCCCGGGAAACUGGGUCUAAUACCGGAUAUGACUCCAUGACGCAUGUUGUGGGGUGGAAAGCCUUGUGCGGCUGAGGAUGGGCCCGCGGCCUAUCAGCUUGUUGGUGGGGUGAUGGCCACCAAGGCGACGACGGGUAGCCGGCCUGAGAGGGCGACCGGCCACACUGGGACUGAGAUACGGCCCAGACUCCUACGGGAGGCAGCAGUGGGGAAUCUUGCGCAAUGGGCGAAGGCCUG
rnacentral:rRNA from 1 species